GUCUGCUUCCGAUCCUUUUGAAGCUGCUCCAUUAUAGUAAAUACUCGCUCAAUUCCAAGACUGACCCCAACAGCUGGCACCUGCUUUGUACCAAACAUUCCUAUAAGGUUGUCAUAUCGUCCUCCAGCAGCAAUUGAACCAACCUGUGUAGUCCCCUUAAAAACAGUUUCAAAUAUGACUCCAGUGUAAUAAUCAAGCCCUCUAGCAAGACUCAAGUCAAAAACCACUUU
rnacentral:misc_RNA from 1 species